AUUGAACGCUGGCGGCAUGCCUUACACAUGCAAGUCGAACGGUAACAGGUCUUCGGAUGCUGACGAGUGGCGAACGGGUGAGUAAUACAUCGGAACGUGCCUAGUAGUGGGGGAUAACUACUCGAAAGAGUGGCUAAUACCGCAUGAGAUCUACGGAUGAAAGCAGGGGAUCGCAAGACCUUGUGCUACUAGAGCGGCCGAUGGCAGAUUAGGUAGUUGGUGGGAUAAAAGCUUACCAAGCCGACGAUCUGUAGCUGGUCUGAGAGGACGAUCAGCCACACUGGGACUGAGACACGGCCCAGACUCCUACGGGAGGCAGCAGUGGGGAAUUUUGGACAAUGGGCGAAAGCCUGAUCCAGCAAUGCCGCGUGCAGGAUGAAGGCCUUCGGGUUGUAAACUGCUUUUGUACGGAACGAAAAGCUCUGGGUUAAUACCCUGGGGUCAUGACGGUACCGUAAGAAUAAGCACCGGCUAACUACGUGCCAGCCGCCGCCGUAAGAC
rnacentral:rRNA from 1 species